rnacentral:lncRNA from 1 species
CUUUUAAGGCCGCACCCACGGCAUACGGAGGUUCCCAGGCUAGGGGUCGAAUCAGAGCUGUUGCUGCCAGCCUACACCACAGCCACAGCAACAUGGGAUCCGAGCCACAUCUGAGACCUACACCACAGAUCACAGCAACACCAGAUCCUUAACCCUCUGAGCAAUGCCAGGGAUUGAAUCUGUGUCCUCAUGGAUGGUAGUCAGAUUCUUCUGGAUUCUGGUUGGGCUGGAUGCCCCCAAGUUUCAGGUCUCAGGUUGACCAGAGCAGUAGUAGAUCUGUUCCUCCUUAAGCCUCAGAAGAUAUGAGCUGAUAAACAAAGCUAAGAGUUGGUUAUGAAAAAAGAAAGAGGACACUUCUCUGCCAAACUUACUGUUCUUAUUUUGCAUCAUCACAGGAUGUUGAUUAUUUCAGGAUUCACAUCCAAGACUCUAUUGAAUAUAAACUAAUUAUUACCUCAAUCACUGCUAUUUAUAGUUACUUUGCCUCCAAGAAAUUUAGAGGAAGAUUUAAUUAAGUAAGAAGGCUUGACAAGGCAAUGUAUUUCUGAGAAGUUGUAGCAUGCUACAAAUGGCGACAUGAGGGCAAAUGCCAAUGGUUUUAUCCUCAAAUGAACUGUAAUAACUUCCCUGAAGUGCUCCCUUUGGAACUUCCAAUUGUUAUAAAAUGGAAUUUAUAAUUAAAUGAAGAAAUGAACACAGUGUGCUGAACUAAAAUGGAAGUCUAGGAAACUCCAACUUUUUUUUCAGUAUAAAUAAACACAAAGAAGGGAAUAAAAGAGAACUAAUAUUAUCCUAAAGUGUGUUGAGGACUUUCAUAGAUAAGAUAGUGUAUUAGACAAUUAUACUUUCAGCAUUUAAGGUAGAACUCACAAUGGUACAAUGAAGAAUGUUCAUUAAAUAAGUGGGAGAUUAAAGUAUUAAGUACAAUGGCAAUGUAUGCCAGUGAGUGGAUUUAUUAAAGGGGGAUGUGGGGAUAAAUAACAGCAAAUACUUUCCGCAGCCUAAGGCCAGACAUUGGAAAACAUAUCCAGGAAAAACUUACUUAUUUAUAAUCGAGGCCUUAGGGAUGACUAUGACUCUUCCAGGUACACUGUCAACUUGUCCACCUUUGCUCCAGGUUCUGUAUGUUCUCUCAUGAUGACUCAAAUACAUCUUGCCCCUGUUUCUAUGUCACCUUUGAUAUAAUCCAAAUAACAUUUUCUAUGGGUUUUUAAUUUAAAAUCAAGGAAAAUUCAGGCACCAUUAUAACCUAUUUAAAAAGAAAUCUGGCAUCGGAAUCAGAAAAUUGCUGUAAUCCUGCUACUUGGCAUUAUUAUUUUUGAUAAACCAUGCUUCAGUUUUCCCAACUAAAAAAAAGUAUAUUACUCUCUACCAUGAAGAGCUGUUAUACACAUUAGGCAUAACUCUGCUAAAUUUUUGCCCAGUACUUGGUAAAAGGCAAGAUCACAAUGUAUGGUAUCACUUAUUUUUAUUAUCUUUUGGAUCUGCCAUUCUUGGUCAAGUAUCAUCUAGUACAAAGGGUGAGUAUACAUGCCUGGAUUAUUGGCCAACUGGGGGACCGAUGUAGGACUAUCAAUGGUGGUCAGAAUAGUAGGGUCCUGGGAUAAACUGUACUAGCAAUGGCUGUCUAGCUGGGCUACUUAACAAAGUUCUAGGUUUCAGAUGUUAUCCUAAAGUGGGCUGGCACAAUCAUAGUUUUGCUAGUUCACUGUAGCAUCUCCAAAAAGACAACUGGUGGCAGGCUUGACCAGCUACAAUGAUUUCUUUGUAGAGAAUCUCAUCAGUGCAUAUGGUCCAAAGUUAGCAUAAUAGUUCACAAUUAAAUGUUUUACUGUAAAUCUUCCAACAAUUUUCUUUCUCUUUUGAAGAGAAAUUAUUAAUGGACUAAGUCCCACAAAUGAAAGAAUACCUCUUUGCUAAGUUUGAAACCCACUCCAAACUGACAAAUCGGAGCUUUGAAGGCUAAAUAAAAUGUUUUUGGAUUUUGCUAUCAUUUACCCAUAACCAAACCUAACUUCCUAUUUUGGUGGAGAAAAUUAACACUAACCCUCAUUUGAAAAUCCCCAAAGAUUUUUUCAGAUACCGCAAGUCAUUUUCAGACCAAAAGCUGGAAGAACAAGCAUAAAUAAAUCAAGACAUGUGGGAUUUGUUUCCUUUUAAAAAUGUGCAUUAAUUUUUUUAAAAGUUCAGGCAAAGUCCAUUUGAAAACUUCUAAGAGUUGUACCAAGCCAAAGACGUGU